rnacentral:rRNA from 1 species
CGCUGGCGGCGUGCCUAACACAUGCAAGUCGAACGGAGGUUAGUGCUUCGGUAUUGACCUUAGUGGCGAACGGGUGAGUAACGCGUGAGGAACCUGCCUUUCAGUGGGGGACAACAGUUGGAAACGACUGCUAAUACCGCAUAAUGUUAUUUGGGGGCAUCCCUGAAUAACCAAAGAUUUAUUGCUGAAAGAUGGUCUCGCGUCUGAUUAGCUAGUUGGCGGGGUAACGGCUCACCAAGGCGACGAUCAGUAGCCGGUCUGAGAGGAUGGACGGCCACAUUGGGACUGAGACACGGCCCAGACUCCUACGGGAGGCAGCAGUGGGGAAUAUUGCACAAUGGGGGAAACCCUGAUGCAGCGAUGCCGCGUGAAGGAUGAAGAAUUUCGGUUCGUAAACUUCUAUCAGCAAGGAAGAACUAAGACAGUACUUGACUAAGCAGCCCCGGCUAACUACGUG